AUAUGAGAGUCAUACUUUAGUGUGCGUUUCGAAUUCGGCAAGUAUGCCUGAACCAGCUAAGUCUGCUCUUGCCCCGAAGAAGGGUUCCAAGAAGGCGGUGACCAAAGCCCAGAAGAAAGAUGGUAAAAAGCGCAAGCGCAGCCGCAAGGAGAGCUAUUCCGUGUAUGUGUACAAGGUGCUGAAGCAGGUCCACCCGGACACCGGCAUCUCGUCCAAGGCUAUGGGCAUCAUGAAUUCGUUUGUCAAUGACAUCUUCGAGCGCAUUGCGGGCGAGGCGUCGCGCCUGGCGCAUUAUAACAAGCGCUCAACCAUCACGUCCAGGGAGAUCCAGACGGCCGUGCGCCUGCUGCUGCCCGGGGAGCUGGCCAAGCACGCCGUGUCCGAGGGCACCAAGGCUGUCACCAAGUACACCAGCUCCAAGUAAAUGUUUAUAGGUGCUGUUAAAACAAAGGCUCUUUUCAGAGCCACUUACAUUUUCAUGUGAGGAGUUGUGAUGCCCUCUUGAUGCCCGUUUUGGGCAUGUUAUCUAAACGCAGUUAGAUACUGGAGUUGGCUGAGUUGUUUCUGCUAAUAAGUCUAUGUAUAGAGAAGCCCUUGUGCUUAUUAAAACAGGCUCUUUCUGUUUCACCUCUUUCCCAAACCUUCCUAUAUUCUAUACUAAAAAAGCCAAGAGUUUCUGUCCACCACGCCUUAUUUUCAAUUACGAAAGCAAGGGAGGCUGGCUGGGUGGGAUUAGGAAAGGGAACUCUUCCAUCCUAGCCGUAGUUUGGCACUCUGGUACCAGGAAUUGGUUUCUGUUCCCAGCUUCCCCCGGCCCUUUCCCCAGAAUGGAUCCUACACUCCCAGAAUCAUGCCCCACCCCACAGAAUUCAGAGCCUUACCUCCAUCUGGCCUGCGCUCCAAACUUCGACAUUCUAGUACCUCUGCCUUCUCCUGUGUGCCCAGACCCCUAUAUGGGGUCCAGUUUCAGUUGUUUCUGAAACACUUCAGCUCGGGUUUUGCUCUUCCUUCCAAAACCUGUGUAACUUUUAUUAAAUUAUCUUUGUAAAAAUAACCAAGAGUUUUCUCUUUUCCUGACUGGACACUGACUAAUGCAUGGUGUCAAGCCUCCCUUGAUUUAAACCUUUUGCUUGUUUCACUUCGUUUCAGCGUCAGACACUUUGAUAAUCAUACAUUUUCCUUACUCUCGAUCUCAGAAGGGUUUAUCACCAUCAGUUCUCCCAGGUAGGUAAAGCAUUUAUUCCAGGAGACAAAAGAAGUGAGUCGAAUUGGAGUGCGGCAUGCAGGCCUUUGGGAUUUGGAGCUUCAUCUCCUAGCCUAACCAUGUCUUCCUUUUUGGCUGAUUCGGGACACAUCAUGAAAGAUGAAUAAGAAAUGCACCAAGAAAAGGGAUGUAGCCUAGUGCUGGGAGAGGAGGUAAUUCAUGCAAAAAUACUUCCUAAAGUGUUGAGAAAUCUGUACAUGUGAAGUGUUUUUGAAUUCUAUCUAGACAUCUUUGAAAGAAAACUGCAUCAGAAGACAUUGGUUGGAAUUUGAGUUCUGUGAGGUAAAUAAUCUUUGGUUCUCACAGCCUCUGUUCCUUACUUUAAAAAUGAGAAUGUUGGGCUUCCCUGGUGGCACAGUGGUUAGGAAAUCCGCCUGCCAGAUGCAGGGGACACGGGUUAGAGCCCUGGUCCGGUAAGAUCUCACAUGCCUCAGAGCAACUAAGCCAGUGCGCCACAACUACUGAGCCUGCGCUCUAGAGCCCACGAGCCACAACUACUGAGCCCGUGUGUCACAACUACUAGAGCCCGUGCUCUGCAACAAGAGAAGCCACCACAAUAAGAAGUCCGCGCACUGCAACGAAGAGUAGUCCCCCUCGCCACAACCAGAGAAAAGCCCACGUGCAGCAGUGAAGACCCAACGCAGCC
ensembl:lncRNA